rnacentral:lncRNA from 1 species
GAGAGAGAGAGAGUAACACUAUUCUAAUCCCAGGAUUGGAAUAGUUAUUUUGAUCACGUUCGGGCCUAUAUAGGAGCUGCGGAGGUGUUCCCGAACUUCUCUGCACGCGGAGAAAAAGCCCACGACCAUCCACCCCCCACCUCCCCACGCCUCUCACUCUCCCCUGAUCCCCAUCUUCGUCACCGUCAACUGCCCCAGGGCACCGCCGCCUCCAUCUGCCCCAGGGCCCCGCCGCUGCUACCUGCCCCAGCGCCCCGCCGCCCACCCCUGACCCGAUGCACCUCCGUUGCCACCCACCCUGUCCCCGCCGCGCUUCCAUCCGCCGUCCCCUGAUCCCCGUCCGUGACGGCGCCUCCCUCCACUCGAUCCACGGCUGUGUCGGCGGCCUCUCCAAUUGGAACUACGACUGCGGCAGCGGCUCCGUCCCCCUGGAUCCAUGACGGCUCCAUCCCUUGGAUCCACGGCGGCGGCGGCCUCCCGUCCCCUGGGUACACAUCAGAGGCAACCACCUCUGCUUCCAAACGCAGUGACGCCCUCCCUCCCACACGCUGCUGGCAAAGUACCGGCCGUCAUCCUCACGCGCGCCAGCGUCCAGCCAUCAUUGUUGCCGUCCCAGCUGCAGAGCGCCCACAUCCCACUCUUCCCCUACUCGACGGGCCAAGCCAUCACCUGCCGGGUCAGGAGCCCUUGCUGCUGCUUCUCACCUUCCAGCGACAGGUACCGCACCAGGCCAUGUAGGCUACUGAAGGUGCAACAACAUCUGCAUUCCUUCUCGCGGCUAUUUUCUCUGACUUUUUGCUACUACGAACACCCACAGAGGAAGAGAAGUAACUCUGAAUCUGAAGUUCUACCUGAAACUGAACUUCUACCUCUUCGCUACAUCGGAGUCCAUCGCUUGCACUACUUGCUUCUAGCAUCUUGUCCAUGGAGUCAAAGCGCUGCCUGGAGUGCCAUCUUGGUUUUGGAUGGGGCUCCGUCGCGACCCAGCUUCUCCCUGUACUCUGCAUCUUGUUCACCACCGCAGCUGCCCUGCGUCCUCACAACUUCUGCGGCCAGUCCACCAACGCGCUGCCAGUGCGCCCUGAGCAAAGCAUGGGGUUUGUGCUAAUGCGUCUAUUCGUGCAUGGGUGUGUGCGUGCGUGCUAGCAUUUGUGUGUGCGCUGGGUUUGUUGCUUGCAUGCUAUGAUGUAUAUGUAUAGAUUUUGUCUGAAGUUCAUGUUGUGAACCCAACUAAGUUUGAACAAAAAAGAUCAGAUCAUUGCUGCUUCGAAUUUGCUCCUGUACCAGAAUAUCGCUUCCAUGUUGUUAUACUAUGUACACUUAUGUAUUGUUUCUAAAUGGCUUUUUGUCUGAAGUUCAGUAGUACCUUUGGGUGCAAAAAAGUUGAUUCGGUUUCAUGGGUCCUUUAAAAAAGAAUGGGAAAGGAAAGUUUCCUUCUCCAAAAUUCAUCACCGCUCUGAAGUGUUAAUUCUUCUUGUGUGCUUCUACUGAGGCUUGUGUUUCAUGGAUAGAGAUAGAGACAUCAAGGAAAUUGUUCAUGUUUCCUUUCUGUCUAUGUACUUCAGAGACAUUUUGUGAGAGAAAAAAGGUGAGUGACGUACUCUUUUGAGAGAUACAAAGUGCUUUGGGCUCCAAUCUUUUUCUACACAAAAUUAUACGUUUGUGUCUCACCAAUGUAGCCGGCAACAGAUGCUUUGUACAAAACAACUUUGGUUUCAUGUGAGAAGUUCGACUAUAAAAUAAACACACGUUCACAUAGAGUAAAAUUAGUGCAAAUAAAAAAUUUAGUGAGCCAUGUAUUGUUGAUAUUUUUUUAAAACAAAAAUUAAAAUAACAGAGAUGUUUGAUGUUGUAACAAUAUAUUUUUCUAAAUUCUUAAAAAAACAAGAAGGUCAAAAUGAAAUAACGGAGUCGUUCAACUUUUUUAAUAGGAAAACAAAAUUUCCUCAUUUCUAAAAAACAAGAAGUUCAACUUCUAAUAUUAGAGUGCUUCAAACUUUCAUAAAAAAUAUUUAAGAAAUAAAACCAGGAAGUCCAUAUUAAAAAGGUGGAGAAGUUCGAUGAUUAUAGAAAACUCAGUUUUCCUCGUAAUUAAAGAAUGGAAACAAAAAGUUCAAAAAUAAAAAACAAGAAGUUCAACUUUUAAAAAUAUAACGCUUCAAAAUUUCAUAAAAAGGAUUAAGAAAUAAACCACGAAGUCCAUAUUAAAAAGAUGGAGAAGUUCGAUGAUUAUAGAAAACUCAUAUUUUUCUCGUAAUUAAAGAAUGGAAACAAGAAGUUCAAAAAUAAAAAACUAGAAGUUCAACUUUUAAAAAUAUAACGCUUCAAAAUUUCAUAAAAAAGGAUUAAGAAAUAAACCAGGAAGUCCAUAUUAAAAAGAUGGAGAAGUUCGGUGAUUAUAGAAAACUCAGAUUCUCCUCGUUAUUAAAGAAUGGAAACAAGAAGUUCAACUUAAAAAAAUAGAGCGCUUCAAAAUUUCAUAAAAAAGAUUAAGAAAUAAAACCAGGAAGUCCAAAUUAAAAAGAUGGAGAAGUUCGAUGAUUAUAGAAAACUCAGAUUUUCCUCGUUAUUAAAGAAUGGAAACAAGAAGUUCAAAAAUUAAAUAACAAGAAGUUCAACUUUUAAAAAUAGAGCGCUUCGAAAUUUCAUAAAAAGAUUAAGAAAUUUGGAUUAAUAUUCAUAAAAAACUCAGAUAUUUUCACGUACACGAGAGAAGUUCAGCUUGAUAACUGUCAGAAGUACACGUACUACACGCUGUGCAUUUUGUAUUAAAAAGAAUUAAAAAAAGCAAAGACUAAAAGUUUGUUGAUAUAAGUUCAAGUCCUCCGUCGGAGAAAGUUAAAGAAAUUAUUGUGAGAGACGUUUGUACAAAAGGAAUAUUAUUUGUGUAAUACUGACGAAUUGAUGAGAAAAUUACAAACAAAAAUACGUCACAGAAGUUCAAAGUGAAAACAGCGGGAAGUUCAACUACUACGCUAAAUGAAUUUCAGAUGAAAAACUUUCAAAAUCGUCGCGAGUAUGAAAAAAUGAUCAACACGGGAAAGUUGCGUGUUUACAGCAGCUUUCCAUUGGUAUAUCACCCGCUCAAUUCCCGUGAGUGGGAUGGAGAGCUAUGAGCAGUGGAUGAAGAUCUACGAGCAAAAAAAUCACGUGAAAAACAGAGUGAAGUUCAGGUACACGCACCGAGAAGUUCAGGUUCUUCACGCGGUGCAUUUCCGAAGAAUCUGUUUCUCGGUAGAGGCGGAACGAAUGAUCCCGCUGUUUUUGGAAUUACUUGAAAACGGCUAGGAAUCAUAGAAAACCAUCAACAUGAAAAAGUUUCGCAUUUUCUGUAGCUUUUCAACGGUAUAUUAUUUGUCCAAUUUUGAUAAAGUUUGUAGAAAUUACGACGAAAAUACGUUUUUCGCCAUUUUCAAAACUGACUUAAAUCCAUAAAGAAUUGGGAGAAAUAAUACAUACCAAAAAGUUUCACAUUUGUUCAAGCUUUCCAACGCCAUAUCAUUUGCUGCAUUCGGAAGCGCGGUUAAAACAUUAUCUUGAAAAUACGAACUCGGUAGGACUUGGACCAUUUUCUAAAUUACUCUUAAACCAUUCAAAAUUACAAAAAAAAACUUUCAAGAUGAAAAAGUAGCGCAUUUUCAUAAGCUUUCCAACGCCAUAUCAUAUGCCUCCAUUGGAUUAGCCAUUUAGAAAUGACAUCGAAAAAACGAACUCAGCUGUUCGGUUUACGAAAUUUUACGUUUUUUCAAAUUACUCUUUAACCAUAGGGAAUUGGAAAAAACUUUCAAAAUGUGGAAGGAGCGGUUUUGCAGCAGCUUUCCAACGCCAUAUUAUAUGCCUCAUUCUGAUAAAUGGUUUAGAAAUGCGAUCGAAAAUACGAUUCACGUUUUUUGUGCGAAGAAAAAAUGGUUUUCAAAACUGCUCUUAAACCGCUUAUGUUUUGACAAAAAUUUAAAUUGGGUCAUGAUAUUGGUGUUCAUAGCUUUUCAACGAUAUAUUGCAAGCCUCGUUUGGGCAAUGUUGUCGGAAGUUCAACCGAGUUCACAGGGAAGUUCAACGUACUACUUGCGGGGCAGGUCAGGUUGUGAUCAGAAUAUUAUUCUGAUCCCAUGAUCAGAAUAGUGUUUAUAUAUAUAUAUAUAAUAAUAUAUCUAUAUAUAUAUACCAGUAAUAUGCGGUAUUACCUGAUAUUCACCGAAACCCUUCCGAUGACCCCAAAACGCUUCCGGAUCCUCUCGAAACUAUUCCAAAUAUUAAUGAAACAAUUCCAAAAAUAUAUCCUCAUCACUCCCGUCCUACUAACACUUGGCAUAUCGUGAUUUCCUUAAGCUUCUAACCUCGUAGGUUCAGUAACUCAUAGACAUGAACGAAACCCCUUUGUUCAAUGACCGAUAGCGGAAUCGUGGACGUCCAUAUCGGUUCGUACGAGCACACGGAUGAUAUUCGUGUGAAACUUUGGUUAUUAUGUGAUGUUCCCUCUGCUUAGAGAUAAUUUACAAAACCCGAGAUGCAUCGGUAUACUCCUGGGUUAUCACAUGCUCACUAUACCAAAAUCCUCGUUACCAGUUUUGUUAUUCUUUCUCGUUGUCGUGUUCCGGCACCCCCAUGAUGUAGUCACCUAUGUCUGGCCAGACAAUGAUGGAGGUUGUCACACCAACAGGACCCUAAGAAUAUCUCUCCAUCGUAGGAGGAGCAAAUCCCACUCUCGAGCUAUCUAUCCCUUGUCAAACUUUCCGAUGAGCCUGUAAGUUGUCGUUAUGAUCACCGUGUUACAAGUGACGUUUGAGCAACCCCAAAGUCCACUAUACGGUAAGAAGUGACUACAAUACUCUCAUGGUCUAAGGAGCAAAACCACAUGUUAACACUCUUUGUUAUUACAAUUGAUUACAAGCAUUAUCUCAAUUCAUAACAAACAAGUUUGGGUCGAUUCAAUAUGAUUGUUCUUCCAACUUCAUAACCUCAAUGUUGUUUUAGGACUAUCGUUACACUUACUGAUAUCCUAAGGUCCGAAAAACAUGAUCACCAACAACAUUUGAGCUACUCUUAGCCGUGAGACUAGGAACCUUUAUUUUAUCCGUUUAUCAUUUCACACGUGCAUACGAGUUUCCCACUGAAUCGCAUAUUCCAGGAUCAUAACAGUUAUAUUAUGAAACAUAAUCUCUUAAUUAUGAACAUGAAAAAUAUAAUAAUACAAUAUUAUUGUCUCUAGGGCAUAUUUUCAACAGUUAAUAGCUAGCUCCUCUUUUCUGGCUCAAGGAGGAAGGCUUCAACUUCUUAAUAUUGCUCUUUCAUCCGUGCUCAUUUUCCUAAUGUGUAUAAUCAAGGUUCCGCCAGGGAUAAUUAGGCAGUUGCAAAGAAUCCAAAGACAAUUCUUAUGGAGGGAAAACAGGCAGGAGCCAACCCCUUCUUUGGCUGCCUGGGAUCUCAUCUGUAGGCCAAAAAACAAAGGUGGCUUAGGCAUCUUAAACUUGGAAGUUCAGAAUGAUGGCCUCCUCCUAAAGCAAGCUAGUAAACUCUUUAACAAGAGUAAGGUGACAUGGGUGGAGCUAAUUUGGAACUCUUAUUAUGAUGAAAGGAUACCUCGGUCUACUCAAUUAUGUGGUUCAUAUUGGUGGAGGGAUAUCCUAGAGUUAGUUAAUACAUUUAGGAAAAUCACCUGGAUACAAGUCAAUAAAGGUGAUAUUGUUCUUUUCUGGAAUGGCCAAUGGAAGCAUGGUAACUCUGUCACACCUUUGCAACUUUGUUUCAAGAGAAUUUUCUCUUAUGCAAAGGACCAACUUAUCACUGUCAAGGAGGUGAUUAAUUGUGAUAAUUUGCUAUCAGUGUUCCAUUUGCCUAUGUCUAAUAUGGUCUUUUUCAGGAGUUGUAGCAGAUUAAAUCAAUUUUCUCUUCUAUCCACCUUCAGAAUAUGGAUGAUGUUUGGUUUUGGAGAGGCGGUGAUAAAACAUACAUGACCAAAAGGUAUUAUGAUCUUAUAUACUCUCCUAUUCAGCCAAAUCCUUUAUUAUCCUGGGUAUGGAAAAGUUGUUGCACAAUGAAAAUCAAAGUUUUUGCAUGGACGAUGAUUAUGGACAGAGUUAAUACCACAGAUAUGCUUCAGAGGAGGCACUGGAAUACUUUAGAUGGGCCUAAGCGUGUACUUUAUCAUGCACACUCUAAGGAGGACAGGGAACAUUUAUUCUUCACAUGCAAUUUUAGAGUGAGGAUUUGGAAUUUUCUCCAAAUACAGUGGUCUAUUGGACAUGACAUGUGUGAAAUAGCCUUUCAGGCUAGGAGGGAUUUUCGUCUGCCUUUCUUUGCUGAAGUAGUUUUCACCGCAUGCUGGAAUAUCUGGACAGUGAGGAAUGAUAAAGUUUUCAGGAAUGACAAACCUUCUUUUGCUAAAUGAGGAUCUGGUUUUGUUAGGGACAUGUCACUGCUUGCUUACUGAAUUAAAGCUAGAUUCAAGGAUGACUUAAUUAGAUGGGUAACUCACUUACCUCCUUGAUUUCUUCUUUACUUUUAGAUUAGGGUUCUCUUUCAUCUUUUGGGGGUUAUUUACCCUUGUAAUUAUUUUUUGUUUGGGGUGUUAGCCCUUGUAAUCUUCUUCAUCUUCUUUCUCUAUUUCUUUCUCCUUGUACCCAACAAGGUUGUGGGGCUUUGCCCUGCAAUUCAAUUGUCAAAGAAAAAUAGUUCGGCGGAUGGCAUUUUAAAUGCAUAUUUGUAUAAUGACCUUUAACAUGGAAUUGUUGAUGGUAUUAUUUCAAAAGCUUGUACCCAAACUAAGCAAGAACUUGAGGAGGUUUCGCUCGAGUUUGUAUUAAGCAGCUCAAACAGACAAUGGUCGAGAUAUACGUAUCGGGCUAAGCAUAAAAAAUGGUCGUUGGAGUGUUAACAUUGUCCUUAGAACAAAAUUGGUGCAAGUUAUUUUUUAACACGAUCGCUUUGCCCAAAAAAAAGGAGCAUGUGUUCACACCAAAUUUUUGACAUCGCAAAAAGGGUAACUCAGAGCUUUAAAUAAAAAGUCCUCAACAUCAAAGUUCUUCGUAUUGUCGAAAUAGACAACUAUGUUUUUUGAGUCAUCCCCAUUAGUGGUCGUAUACAACUUCCGAUGCCAAAGCAGUGUGUUGCACAGGAGAGUCUAAAGAUGGUCGGACUGUCCGGCCAAAUUCAGGUGGGGAUGUCCAGCUCAAUCGGACAAACAGUCGGGGCCUUCGUCGAGCUUGUGACGGAGACAUCACGUAACACACUCGAACCAUCCUGAAAAGUCUGAGUAUUGUCCUACCUAAGUUUUCGUGCUUUUUCAGUUGCAGUAGUUAUAAAACAAGCAAUUACAUUUUACGGGACCAUGGCAAAUUUAUUUUAUGCAUCAUGGUAAAAUUAGUGUAUGGACCAUGGCAAUAAAAAAGUCGGACAAAAAAAUUUAACUUUUAAUUUUAACCAUUGAGGAUUUUAUCCUUUUCUUUUCUUUGGAACAUGUUUUUUUUUGUUGGAACAAACCAUGUGAAAUUCCUUUUUUUCCUAGCUUGCCCAUUUUUCUUUAGUUUGUAUUGUAUUUGAUCUCCACAAAAAAAAAGAUUUUAGUAUGUAUUGCUUGUCAUUUUGUAAUUUUUGUGCUAUGAUAUUUUUUAGGUAUGCCAAAUUUUUUUUUCAAACAUACAUCAAAUAAGCUGGUUGUUUUUCCCCAAAAAAAUCUUAUUGUUUUUCCGGUUGGAACUUUUUUUUUUGGAACAAGCAGUGAUGCCUUGGGGGAGGAGGCCUGUUAAGAAAUACAUGUUGGGCCAUUUUGGUUCGUUCUGGCGAGUUCCUCCAGCGAACGUUUCUUUUUCGGGGAGUGGGGGUAUGCACGUGAUGAAGUUUGCAGCCGGUAUCCACGAAAUUUCUUCCUUUUCUUUUUUUGGGGGUUCCUCCUUUAUUAUCUUUCUCCCUUCUUCUUCUCUCGUUUUUCGUUGUUCUUCAUGUUCGACGACAAUAAACCUUGAGGCUCUUGGGCAAUCAGGUCUAACUAAAGCAACUCAUAGCCACUGUGCUCUCCGAUGGGAUCUCCCGGGCGUGUGGAGUUUUGGUUCUUCAAAAUAGAAUGCGUUCACAUUUUUUGCAUAUCUCACGAACGGCAACAGGAUAUUUGUCCCCCCCACCCCACCCCCCCUCGCCAUCACGCAACACAAAAAACAGCCCUAGGGAUUUAUUUAUGAAAGCGAAGAUAGCAGUGGGGAUAGAGGAGAGGAGAGGAGACAGGAAAUAGAAAACAAAACCCAGACCUCUUUCCAUCAUCCUGUCAAUUCCAUACGCGUCGUAGCUGUUUCCCGUUGGCUGGACGGAGGCCUGUGUCUGUCCAUUGAAUUUCUUCCCUCUUCUUUUUUGGUAGUAAAGGGACGGGGUACUAGAUUGAUAGAUAGAUACUCUCAUUACGACUUGCACACCACACCACCUAGGCAUGGAAGAAACUAACUACUACUAUACUACCACCUCUGUUUCUGAUUUAUAAACUAUCAAAACAGCUUAUACUCCCUCCCGUACCAAAAUAUAAGAUGUUUUUGCACUUCAGGUACAGAGGGAGUAUUGAAGAACACUAGUUAAUUAAAAUUCUUAUAUCAUACUCUAAAUACCGGACCUAUGAUCUUGGCAUAGUUGAAUAAUAAUCGUAGUAGCAUGUGUUGUACUAUUAUUGUAUUAUGUCCUCAGCUAAUCACCAUACCUAAGCAGGAGAAGCAUGAGCAGGAGAAGCAUUCAACCACCAGCCAGGCAGCCAACACAAGAAGGUCACAUGCAGGGAUGGGAAGGAGCAACCAUAUGUGCUGUGGCCAGCUCACUCCCCUGCUGAGCUGGCAGACGGCCACUCCACAUGCAUGGCACCACCAGCUCAGCCAAGGAAGGAAUUCCCCGAGGAAGGAAGAAUCCCACACAAAAUGCCAGCCAGCCAGCCCCCAAUUGGCUCCCCAGCCAGCCUUUUUUUUACCUUGUUCUUUUCUUGCUUGUAACACAGCACUGACAAACUUAAUACUCAACCACUAUCACACAGGAGCAUUGCAUGCAUGGACUAGAGAGAGAGAAGAAAGAGGAGGGAAAACAGAACAAAAAAGAAGCGCAAAAGGUACCCACAUCUCCAUUAAGUACACACAUUCUUUCUUCCAACCUCUGCGGGCAUUAUCAGUUGUUGCAGCACUUCUCACUCAUCACCACAGGUUCUGUCUGAUCUUACACAAGGGGAAAACUGGUGAACUUGUCUCGGUCUUCUUGUCUUCCUCUCUCCUCCUCCUCUCCUCACACGCUCAUUCUCAC